AUAAAUUUCUUAUAUGGGGGUUUAAACAAUUCAUUGUUGUUGUCGUUAAAUAUUAGGCUGUCUUAUGUAUUUUGAAAUGACCAUCUCAUUCAUUAGUACAACCCCUUUAAAAAUUCAAGUUUUCUGGAUUUGAGCCUUUCGUGUAACAUAGGUUUUAACAAAUCAUUGUUUUUCAAUUUCAACUCGUGAAGGUUUUAUUGGCUAGAACUCUCUCAUGGACACACACAUGUGCACAUAUAUUCAAUCUUUUAGAUGCCACAAAGCAUCCCACUCCAACAAUUUGAUGGAAGAUGAUUCAUUAAUUUUUCACUUGUUUAGUUAUGUUAAGCAUCCAACCUAAAAUCAAGACCCCCGGCCUGUGUAAGUUUAACAAAAGAGCAAAUGUGUAGGUGUAUUGAUCCAACUUCAUGUGGUAUAUAUACUAUAAUGUUUUCAUUGACAGAAAUUCUUGUAAAAUUUUCAAAUUUAAAUUGUGAAACUUCGGUGUUACCAAUAGGUUCUGGUGUCUGUUGGAAGUGGACCAUGGGAUCAACUAUUUGGUGGUGGAAACUCACCUGCUUUUGCUGUAGCUGGUAUUGCGUCCCUCAUGAGUGGACUGAUGGCAAUCUUGGCUAUCCCUCGUAGUACUCCACAGAAGACCAGGGCCCUCCCAUGAGCUUUCAUUGAAUUCUGGGCGAGACAAGCUAAUCUAAAAUCAGUGGGGAGUUUAUUUUUUGGAU